ACACUAAAUGUCCGAAAGUAUGAUAUUAUAAUAUGUUAUCUGCAGUUGAGCCUUUGAAAGAUAAAGUGGGCGUGUAUUAUAUUAUAUUUUAAUAUUUUACAGUAUAAAGGUCGAGGAGUUCUCAGACUUUUCUAUCUCUCUCCUGUUUUUCAGGUAUUCCUCCUGCUGCUGACUCUAGAACUCAUCUCUCUCCUGUCAUUCAGAUACACAUGAGAUCUCGAUCUUGCCGGUGUUCUGCUGAUCUCUGCUGCCGUGCUCU